CCUACGGGAGGCUGCAGUGAGGAAUAUUGGUCAAUGGCCGAGAGGCUGAACCAGCCAAGUCGCGUGAGGGAAGACGGCCCUACGGGUUGUAAACCUCUUUUGUCGGGGAGCAAAGCGAGUCACGUGUGACUCAUUGAUAGUACCCGAAGAAAAAGCAUCGGCUAACUCCGUGCCAGCAGCCGCGGUAAUACGGAGGAUGCGAGCGUUAUCCGGAUUUAUUGGGUUUAAGGGGUGCGCAGGCGGAGGUGCAAGUCAGCGGUCAAAUUGCGGGGCUCAACCCCGAAAUGCCGGUGAAACUGCAUGCCUGGAGUGCGCGAGAAGUAUGCGGAAUGCGUGGUGUAGCGGGGAAAUGCGUAGAUAUUAGGAGGAACACCAGUGGCGAAGGCGGCUUACUGGACUGUAACUGACGUUGAGGCUCGAAAGCGUGGGGAGCAAACAGGAUUAGAUACCCGGGUAGUC
rnacentral:rRNA from 1 species